ACUCUUCAGUUCUGUUUCAGGGUUUCUCUUUGUUUUUUAUCACGUCAAAAAGCACCAUGUUUAUAAGAGCUUUGAUGCAAGGUUUAUCAGACUCUCUGAAAUGCUUACCUGAAGUCUGGGUAGUGGUCCACUAAAGGCUGCAGCUCUCCUCUUCCUCACCUUGGUGUGUGGAGGCCUCAUGAGAGCGCAGUGCUGAGAGAGCAGCGUUGUCCGGUUACAGAGCUCCUUGAAGUCCUCCUCGUUGGUAGCAACAGCAGAGAGUGACAGCAGAAAUGAGGGAGGAGAUGCAGCAAAGGUCCCAGGCAAGAUCAACCCUGAACAAUUGGAACGCAGAGCUGGCAUAUUGAAGCUAAGACACAAGAUGAAGUGGAUACAAUAAAUCUGAC